UACGUAGGGUGCGAGCGUUAAUCGGAAUUACUGGGCGUAAAGCGUGCGCAGGCGGUCUGUUAAGACAGAUGUGAAAUCCCCGGGCUUAACCUGGGAACUGCAUUUGUGACUGGCAGGCUAGAGUAUGGCAGAGGGGGGUAGAAUUCCACGUGUAGCAGUGAAAUGCGUAGAGAUGUGGAGGAAUACCGAUGGCGAAGGCAGCCCCCUGGGAUAAUACUGACGCUCAUGCACGAAAGCGUGGGGAGCAAACAGG
rnacentral:rRNA from 1 species